CCCUUAGAUGUUCUGGGCCGCACGCGUGCUACACUGAUGCAUUCAACGAGUCUAAAACCUGGUCUGAUAGGGCUGGGUAAUCUUUUGAAAGUGCAUCGUGAUUGGGAUAGAUGAUUGCAAUUCUUCAUCUUCAACGAGGAAUGCCUAGUAAACGCAAGUCAUCAGCUUGCAUUGAUUACGUCCCUGCCCUUUGUACACACCGCCCGUCGCUCCUACCGAUUGAAUGUUUAAGCGAGGUUCUCGAACUGCUAGCGACUUAGCUUCGGUGAGGUCGCAGUGUGGGAAGUGAACCUAGCUUUGGUGUCUAGAGGAAGUAAAAGUCGUAACA
rnacentral:rRNA from 1 species